rnacentral:rRNA from 1 species
AUUGAACGCUGGCGGCAGGCCUAACACAUGCAAGUCCAACGGUAACAGGAAACAGCUUGCUGUUUCGCUGACGAGUGGCGGACGGGUGAGUAAUGUCUGGGAAACUGCCUGAUGGAGGGGGAUAACUACUGGAAACGGUAGCUAAUACCGCAUAACGUCGCAAGACCAAAGAGGGGGACCCUCGGGCCUCUUGCCCUCGGAUGUGCCCAGAUGGGAUUAGCUUGUUGGUGGGGUAACGGCUCACCAAGGCGACGAUCCCUAGCUGGUCUGAGAGGAUGACCAGCCACACUGGAACUGAGACACGGUCCAGACUCCUACGGGAGGCAGCAGUGGGGAAUAUUGCACAAUGGGCGCAAGCCUGAUGCAGCCAUGCCGCGUGUAUGAAGAAGGCCUUCGGGUUGUAAAGUACUUUCAGCGGGGAGGAAGGGAGUAAAGUUAAUACCUUUGCUCAUUGACGUUACCCGCAGAAGAAGCACCGGCUAACUCCGUG